rnacentral:rRNA from 1 species
GUCUUUGGCCAUGCCACCCUGAACACACCUGAUUUCGUCUGAUCUCGAAAGCUAAGAAGGGUAGGGCCUGGAUAGUACUUGGAUGAGAGACCACCUAGGAAGACCGGGUGCUGUAGGCG